GGUUCCGUAGCUCAGCAGGAUAGAGCAUCGCUCUUCUAAAGCGUCGGUCGUUGGUUCGAAUCCAACCGGAAUCG
rnacentral:tRNA from 1 species